UACGGGGGGAGCAAGCGUUGUUCGGAUUUACUGGGCGUAAAGGGCGCGUAGGCGGCGUGACAAGUCACUUGUGAAAUCUCCGGGCUUAACUCGGAACGGUCAAGUGAUACUGUCGUGCUAGAGUACAGAAGGGGCAACUGGAAUUCUCGGUGUAGCGGUGAAAUGCGUAGAUAUCGAGAGGAACACCUGCGGCGAAGGCGGGUGCUGGGCUGACACUGACGCUGAGGCGCGAAAGCCAGGGGAGCGAACGGG
rnacentral:rRNA from 1 species